ensembl:snoRNA SNORD24 Small nucleolar RNA SNORD24
AGACUAUGAUGUUACAUAUAUUUGCUAUCUGAAUCAAUGUGGACAACCCACCAAGAUCGCUGAGUCU